GGGGAAUAUUGCACAAUGGGCGAAAGCCUGAUGCAGCAACGCCGCGUGAGUGAUGAAGGCCUUCGGGUUGUAAAGCUCUGUCUUCUGGGACGAUAAUGACGGUACCCAAGGAGGAAGCCACGGCUAACUACGUGCCAGCAGCCGCGGUAAUACGUAGGUGGCAAGCGUUGUCCGGAUUUACUGGGCGUAAAGGGAGCGUAGGUGGAUAUUUAAGUGGGAUGUGAAAUCCCCGGGCUUAACCUGGGGGCUGCAUUCCAAACUGGAUGUCUAGAGUGCAGGAGAGGAGAGUGGAAUUCCUAGUGUAGCGGUGAAAUGCGUAGAGAUUAGGAAGAACACCAGUGGCGAAGGCGACUCUCUGGACUGUAACUGACACUGAGGCUCGAAAGCGUGGGGAGCAAACA
rnacentral:rRNA from 1 species